rnacentral:lncRNA from 1 species
UCUCUCUCUCUGUGUCCCCCCCCCCAUUUAUUGUCUGAUCCUAUCAGUCAAGUUAAUAUAAAAGUAGCAAGUGGGAGGCCCAGCACCCUCUCUUCCGCGCGCCUAGGGCACUUUGGGGAGGUGUCGGCCGCUGCCAGGUUACCGGCGGGAGUGGUGGCCCUUGGUGCAGGGCACGCCGCCUGCGGAGGAGUUGGGGUCUGCGCUGGGUUGCAGGGCUUAUUCAAAUGCCGCCCGCUGCUGCUGUGAUUCGCAGGGACUCGGCCUCCAUAUGCCAGGUGCCCCCCAGAAACCGGCAAUUCUGCAACCAGUUGUGGAAUCCUGCAACUAGUCAUAAAAUGUGCUGAAAAUGUACUUUAGGAAACGUAAUCUUGCUAUAUAUGGCAAGGUAAGGGCAAACCUAAAGGAUGAGUGUGUUUCCGUUUUUUAAUGUUUUACGUGUAGCCAUCUGACCACUUUUUAUUGGGUGACAUAUCAUAUGAGCACUUUAGUGUAGGCUUGGAAAAACUACAGCCAGAGGUAAGGCUGGAAAUGCCAUAAGAAUUAAGGGUGCCAAAAAUGGAUGCUGGAUAGUCCAGCAUGAAAGAUGGCAUACAGCUCUAGGUUUAAAAUGGGGGAAAAUACCUGUGAAUAUUUAUACAUGAAAGCCAUUGGGGAGGGCUGAGUCUUUCUUUGCAGACGCCGAAAGGAGCCUGUGUAUGUCCUGCGGCCGCCCUGUGACUCUGGAUCUUGUCUUCUGGCCGGCGCUUCGAUUCCUGCCCAGCUGGAUUUGAGGGGCAGCAGUGCCUGGCGCAGGGAGGAGAGCAAAUGAGACUACAAAGAAGCAUAAAAUGAAUAGACAGUUCAACCAGCCAAAGACCGGGGGCAGCAGCACGCCAGCAAGACGGCAUCUUCUCCUCCCCAGCCUAGAAGCCCUGUGAAAUCGAGGAUCUUCCCCCUAAAACACACACACACAAGAUAUGUGCAAUCAAGCUGCCACCGCUUGGUAAAAAGCUCAUGGUGCCUAACCCAAAAGGAUCGGGAGCAGAUCCUUGAAUCAGCUGUCACUUCUUCUAUAGAAUGGGAUGGUUUUUUUCCUUCCUCCUUACCCUGCGCUGGAAAUUGCCGUUGGCUUUAUACGUCUCUAUAGAGGGAGGCUAAAGAGUCUUGCGUGAGAAUGAAGCAAUUUACAAUGCAAAUAGAGGCCUGUGAAGGGACGGAUGCUGCUGCUCACUCGUAACCGCUUGCUGCACCUUAAUAGCUGGUUUUAUUUUCUGAUAUUAAUAGAUGAAUUGUUGGCUAACGCUGCCGGAGAUUACUUGCUGAAAGGAAAAAAAAAAAGUUCGGAAUAAACUUUGAAAGCAACAGAUCUCGUUUGGAUGUUUAGCCGCACACACAGACAGAAACCAGGUCAUAUUUACAUACAAGGAGGAAUCUUAUGCGCGGCGAGUAUCCUGGAGGACUACCCUUCUGUGCUGUCGGAAAGAUCGGGACCUGGAGUCUGAUCAAAGGAAGACAGAGGCGCGUGAGGGAAGCGAGUUGUUAUCUUUGGUUAUCUAGCUGUAUGAGUGUAUUGGUCUUCAUAAAGCUAGAUAACCGAAAGUAAAAACUCCUUCAAGAUCGCCGGGGAGCGUGUGAGAAUGAGAGACUACAACCGAGAGACAGUAAAAACCAGAAAGGUCAGGAAUACUUAUUGAAUCUAACUUUGUUUUUGUUUUUUUGCCUUUUGAUUAAAGGUGGGGUUAGAGGAAAUUAAGUGACGCAUAUGCCAAAAUAUAAAGGUGCCAGGUACUUGGAGAGGGGUUGUUACAGCUGCAAAGGAGAAUUGUAUGGUGCUAAUGAGGAAAGAGGCUUGCGCAGUUUGUCUUGCUUUAAGGCAAAAGUUUGUAUAUGAGGUUGGUUUUUUUCUUAGACAGCUGUUGUAGAGAUGUCUGGUACCUAGUUUAAAAAUGAUUUGGUAAUAUGUGGACUUAGGCUCUUCCCUUCUGAGGCCCCUCCCCUGAAAAAUUUGAAAGAUGAUGCUUGGAAACUACAUGUAUUUGGGUUGUAUGUCAAAUUAUAUGAAAUUAGACUUUCAGAAAAUUUAUACUGGAAGGUUAAUCAUUUGUAUCUACUGAGGACAUAGAGCUAGAAGGGAAAAUGCAAAAAAAGAAAAAAAAAGCAAAGGCUGAUUUUUAUUCUUCUAUUCAAAAUACAAGGACAGAUGCUUCUCUGUUCCAAGAGGGUUUCCUUGAGGAAGCUACUGAAGCAGAAAGACAUGAUGGAGACGAGAUCGCCUCCCCUCUUGUCAAAGUGUUAAAAAAAUGUUCUGUCUUACUCUGCGCCUAGCAUUGGAAAUGAAAGUGACAUUUACGCCACAACCCACGUGUGCGCCUCCUCUCUUUUUGUUUAAGGAUGAUCAGGUCUAUCCAGGAAACAGCUCUGGCAUCCCAAACUGAAAUAAUUAGGACGUAUAUAGACCUGACAAAAAUGGAAAGGGGGUGGGGAAUCUGAGGGUCUGUCUUGCCUAAUUGAUUCCGCUAAACGGAAUGCAGGAGAUGUGAACGGCAGGACGCUCCGAUUCCCACGCUCGGGGGCAAGUGGUAAAGCGGGCCCGGCAGCCUAUGACAGACAGCCCUGUUGGGGGGUGGGGGUAUGAAAAAAACAUCGAGUGCACACACCAUACUCAUCUCCAUCGCUUAAGAAAGUAGAGGCAUUUCCCACCCACAGCCAUCUGCAGCCUCCCAAAUGGCAGCACCAACUGGUCUGUAGCUGCUGCAUACUGUCUGAUUCUGUUAAUUUUAUAACCGCUGUUUAAUCUGGCCAUAAUUAAGUUUGGCUUUCUUCUUUGCUUGAGAUUUUCAAUAUUUAAGGAAAGCUAGUAGAAAGCAGUUCCAAGCAAGUCCCAUGACUGCCUGCCCCUCAUGUCAAAUUGCCAGUCCGCACUUUUGGCCUUCCACCUUUUGGCUUUUGUUUUGGGGAAGGGGGUUCUAUUUAAAAUACUUAUCUCUUCUGUAAUAGACAUUAUUAUCACUUCAUCAGGCUCUUUACCUCUGAACAUGAUAUAUCCAGGAAGUUGGCCUAAUUCUGCUAGUAGACAUACACUGGAAGUAAAACUAUAAAAUCAUCAACCUAUAGAAAGGUGACCACAAUAACAGUGUGAUGAAAGGUUGUUUUAGUAUAGUCCCAGCUAGAUGUGUUCUAAACAGCCAUUUUUAUUUAAUCUAAAAUGACUAUGCUUAGCAGAAACUUUGGGAGGUCCCCAUGGUAAUCUUUUCAUGAAAGUCCUUUCAUUUUUCCACGUGUCACCAAGCAAACAUUUGUAUAGGCAUUUAAAAAUAAACACAAACACAAACACUGUAAUAAGAAAAUGCCCAAAAUGGCCUGUUAUCUUCCACGUGACCUAGAUUACUGACAAUCCCAAAUCCCAAAUACACAACUUUUCUUCAAAAGCAUUACAUUUCCUUUGUAGCUGCAACUCCUUAUAAGAGUUCAGACUGGAGAAGCCUGAAAAACCACUGUUAAUUUCAGUUAGAAACUGAGAGACUUUAUGAACGUAAAUUCUCAAUUUGGCCGCUGAACACGUGCCAAAGUUUUAACUACUGUAGUGACCGUUGAGAAGACCCUUGUUUAUUUACAUUUGAAGCACUGUUUGUGCAAACAACCUUUCAUUGUUAAGUGCCUGUAUUCCUUUCAUUUACUUCAUGUCCAGGGGUGCUAUUUACCUAGAACCAUUGUCUACUACAAUUAACAUUUACAUUACAAAGUGUGUGGUUUUCUUUCUCAAGGAGGUUCAAUUAAGGCAAUAAGAUGUUUGCUGGGGAAACCUAUUGUUUACUGAAAGCACUCAAUGGAGUCAAAUUACUGAAGCUUUUGCCUACAUCUUGGUCUUUUAUGUAAAUGUGUUAAAUAUAACAUCUAAGGAAAAUAAACAAUAUUAUAAUUACGUGUUUGCCAUUGUCAUAUCAAACUUGCUUUGUAUCAUACUAAUGUUACAUGACUUAUCGAUCAAUAAAAAUACAUUUCAAUGUUAUUAUUUUCAUUUUAUUUUUUGCUGUUCCACUGCUCUUGCUGCAACAUGUUCCAAUUUUUCUUUUUUCUAUUACACAUCAAACUUAUGACAUUUUGUUUUAUUUGUGUGUGUUGAAGAGAGGUACUGUAUCCAAGCAUGGGUCUGAAGGGUGUCUGAGGACAUCUCUACAGUGACCUUAUAAUAAGGUGAUAUUUCUUUGAAAUCUGAAAUAUUCCAAAGGCAUGUACAUUUAAGUCAAAAGAAGUGUAAAUAUCAGUUAAGUAGUUCUUUGAAAGCUAGUUUUAACAUUGGCAGAAACCGGAUCAAGUUUAUUUAGCAUACCACUGCAUUGUAAAACAGUUGGAGUGAAGUUGCAGGUUGCGUGAGUAUGCAUGUUAACUAGUGGGAACCAAGCGCAGUCUUUGUGAAAGGGGAGCAGCAGAUUGCUGUGCAAGGCCAAUGUUAAAAAGGCAGCUGAAUUUAACACCAUCUGGAAGAAAAGAUCCCUUCACGACUUUCUCACACCGUCAGACAAAACUAGUGUCUCUUGUUCCGAGCCCUUGUCUAUGCAACCAUACAAUACUGAGUCAUUAUACUUUUGCUGAGAGAAAAUUUGAGAACACAAUAUGGGUAACCAGUGAAUGACCAAGUUUCAUUGUGCCCGCUUAAGUCGAUUGAAAUCUACGUCUAGAGCUCUGAAUGGUAGUAUUGUUUUCCUCACCAGGGCUGUACUAAAUGUCAGCACAGUGUAAAGAAAAACUUGAAGUCUGCAAAUAACUUACCAGAUCUCAAUUAUAAUAUUUUCCCACACUAGAACUAAUAUCAUUGCGAGGGGCUACACUGCAGAAAAUACCAAAAGAAACGAAAAGAAAUAGAGAGUUCAUUUAGAAGUUAUUUUAUCCAGACAAACAUUUUAAUUUUCUGAUGGGAACUUCAAUUCAGGCUGCAGGCUGGGUUGAGAAGUAGAAUUCAUUACUGGGAAGUUCAAGUUACAAAAAUGCUUCUUGUGCAAUUAAAAUAGAAUAAAGCAAACCACUAGUCCCACCUGAAACUCUCUCUUCUUAAAUAUAAAGAGACUCUAGUUGAAUUUUAUUGCUUUAGUUCUGCUUAGAAUUAUUAGUGUGCAUCUAGCUUAAAUUUUGCUUUAAAUUUUGCCAGACACUGCUCUUUCAAAGUUUGCCCCUAUGAUUGACAUUGCAAAAGAACAUCAUAGUGUACAUUUCCAAAAAUAUACAAGGUUUGGCUCCUCCCUAGGUGGGUUCUGGUGCCUUCAGGAAUACACCUCCCUGUAUAUUACACCCCUUUCCC